GGGCUCAUAGUUCAUCGGUAGAACGCGUCAUUGACAUUGACGAGGCGGUAGGUUCAACUCCUACUGGGCCCA
rnacentral:tRNA from 1 species